rnacentral:tRNA from 1 species
GGGUAUAGUUCAGUUGGUAGAACGACGGUCUCCAAAACCGUAUGUCAUGGGUUCAAGUCCUAUUGCCC